rnacentral:rRNA from 1 species
AGAGUUUGAUUAUGGCUCAGGAUGAACGCUGGCGGCGUGCUUAACACAUGCAAGUCGAACGGAGUUAGCUGUGGAGCGGAAGGGCUUGCCCGGAAGUGGAAUGGUUAAACUUAGUGGCGGACGGGUGAGUAACGCGUGGGUAACCUACCCCAUACAGGGGGAUAGCAGCUGGAAACGGCUGAUAAAACCGCAUAAAACGGCAGCAGGGCAUCCUGCAACCGUCAAAUAUUUAUAGGUAUGGGAUGGGCCCGCGUCUGAUUAGAUAGUUGGUGGGGUAACGGCCUACCAAGUCAGCGAUCAGUAGCCGGCCUGAGAGGGUGAACGGCCACAUUGGGACUGAGACACGGCCCAAACUCCUACGGGAGGCAGCAGUGGGGAAUAUUGGACAAUGGGGGGAACCCUGAUCCAGCGAACCGCCGCGUGAGUGAAGAAGUAUUUCGGUAUGUAAAGCUCUAUCAGCAGGGAAGAUGAUGACGGUACCUGACUAAGAAGCCCCGGCUAACUACGUGCCAGCAGCCGC